CCUACGGGAGGCAGCAGUGGGGAAUAUUGGGCAAUGGGCGCAAGCCUGACCCAGCAACGCCGCGUGAAGGAAGAAGGCUUUCGGGUUGUAAACUUCUUUUGUCAGGGACGAAGCAAGUGACGGUACCUGACGAAUAAGCCACGGCUAACUACGUGCCAGCAGCCGCGGUAAUACGUAGGUGGCAAUCGUUAUCCGGAUUUAUUUGGUGUAAAGGGCGUGUAGGCGGGAAUGCAAGUCAGAUGUGAAAACUAUGGGCUCAACCCAUAACCUGCAUUUGAAACUGUAUUUCUUGAGUGCUGGAGAGGCAAUCGGAAUUCCGUGUGUAGCGGUGAAAUGCGUAGAUAUACGGAGGAACACCAGUGGCGAAGGCGGAUUGCUGGACAGUAACUGACGCUGAGGCGCGAAAGCGUGGGGAGCAAACAGGAUUAGAUACCCUUGUAGUC
rnacentral:rRNA from 1 species